rnacentral:lncRNA from 1 species
CUUCAACAAAACUUUCUAUAGCAGCCCAGGCAGUGAACAUAAGAUCACGGAUGAACAUGGAGACGGUGUUGGAUAAUGCCACUGGAAACUUGAUGUGGUGGGCACCGGCCAUACUACAGCCAAGUCAUACAACACCAGAGAUUAGUGAUCUUAAGCUGUGUGACUUGGUUAACUUGCUCAAUGGAUCUGUCAAACAAUGUAACGGUGAUUACUUUGAGACUUUCAAGGGUAAAGAGGGAUAUGGAAGAAUGUGUGAGUAUCUAGAUUUUCAGAGGACUAUGAGUUCUAUGGAACCAGCACCAGAGAUUUAUUUAUUCUCGAGCUGGACUAAUUUUUUCAAUGCACUUGAUUUUGGAUGGGGGAGGACAUCAUGGAUUGGAGUUACGGGAAAAAUUGAAUCUGCAUUUUGCAAUUCCACAAUGUUGGUUCCAACACAAUGCGAUAAUGGAAUUGAAGCAUGGGUGAAUCUAGAAGAAGAGAAAAUGGCUAUGCUAGAACAAGAUCCCCAGUUUCUAGCGGUAGCAUCUCCAAACCCCCCAAUUUCAAGGUGUUGAUUAAAAAAGAUUAUGUGGCUCGUGCAAUGUUUCGAUUUUGUAGUGAAUAAGGUUUAAAUUAGUUCACCAGCCAAUCAAUAAGAUGCAAGUAUGAUAGACUCUGUCUACGUAUGUUAUCCGAAUGUGUUUUCGAUAUGCUUGUAACCAAUAUAGCUCUUGUUUGUAAUAAUGCUCUGUUAAGCUUCUAUCUAUAAAGUUAUUUCUCUUGAUUAAAGAAAAAACUAUACAAGUUUUGUUAAGCUUUAUUCUAUUUUUAAGAUAGGAUGUAUGUAGUACCUAUAAAGAUGGUUCACCUAUUAUUAUUUUCAAAUACAUGAUUAUCCGGUACAAUUACGUAGAAUAUUUCUAUAGCUAAAAAAAUGUAAUUUUGAUCCGUGACAACAUGAUUAAAAAAUUACAUAUUCUGAUACAUUUGUUCUCUAACGACAAGCAUGGCCAUAAUGCCUCACCUGAUCAUCUAUGUGAUGGGGUAGUGUCCUUUCUUUUUAAGAGAAGGUAGGCACCUAAUGUGAAGGCCUCUACGAGAGACUAAUAUUGUCUGAUCUUCUUUUGUUCAUCAAAUUAAAGAAACGAAAAUGGCCACAAUGCCUCACUAUUGAUAGAAGAUAGAACCAUACAAUAAUUUGGAACAUAUGCAUGGAGACAAGGAAAUAUAACACAAUAAAACCAUUAUAAUUUCACUUUAUGUGGGAAACUUGGCCAAAACCGAAUCACAUCCACGUUGGCAACAAAAAGUGACUGGAAAAAAAGAGCCCCCAAAAAGCUAAAACACUAUAAAAACCAGAAAACUUGAAUAAGCGAAAAACCAAAAGUAUGACAUUUACACACACACUCUAUCUCUCUCUCAAAGUCUGAAAACUUGCGCAAUAAGGUACCUAGCUCUCUGGUCUUUUCUUUCUAAUGCAUAUAAGUCCCUGUAAAUUUUAUGGCUUUUGGAAUGAUGAUUUUAUGCUUGUGGAUCUCAGAUGGGUUUGUUUUGUUUUGGGAUUUUUAUAAAUGAAUCCAUUGAAAAUGUUGAAAGCUUAUGCCUUUGUUCCUUGGUUCACUGUUCUGGUUUUGUAAAUUGUGUGUACGAGAGUUGAAAUGUUGGUUUUGGUAAAGAGAAAUGUUCUAUAACCAUGUAAGUUAUCUUCUAAAGUUGUUCGAGUACUGCAUAGGAAAUAACGACCUAAACUGCUAGAUGCUCUGAGAAACUUAAUUAUCCGAUUCGUUGUGAUAAAUUAAUAGAACCAUCAAUAGCCGUGAUAGUCCCUUAAUAUUUGGUGGCUAAUUAGCAAUGCAUUCAUGGUAGUUGCAUGUGCUUAUUUUGUGCAGUAUUCUAAUUCUAUCACUUGCAAAAUCGUUGUGGAAGGUCAAGAGGAGAAAACUGAAAAUGGGGCAGCAUGCAUCUCAUUUUAUUUUUUUAUGCAAUAGAGCCCUAUAUAUAAAAUAAAUAAUGUAUCUAUAACCUUCUCUAAUUAAUUUACUUAGUAAUUGACGCAAUUUGGCCGAACUGUUUCUAAACACACUAAGCUUCAGUUCUAUAUAUACCACGUACCACAUGUAUGAAUUCAUCAAGUGUCUGAUAAUACUAAACCUACUUCGACAAAAUGGAGAAAAUUGAGGUCAGUAUAAUUUCCAAACACACCAUCAAACCAUCAGCUUCCACUCCACGACUUCAGCCUUACAAGCUUACCCUCCUGGACCAGCUCACUCCUGCAAUGUAUGUCCCCAUGGUAUUCUUCUACCCCAUUACUGAUCCUGUCUUCAAUCUUCCUCAAACCCUAGCUGACUUAAGACAAGCCCUUUCCGAGACUCUCACUUUGUACUAUCCACUCUCUGGAAGGGUAAAAAACAACCUAUACAUCGAUGAUUUUGAAGAGGGUGUCCCAUACCUUGAGGCUCGAGUGAAUUGUGACAUAACUGAUUUCCUAAUGCUUCGGAAAAUCGAGUGCCUAAAUGAGUUUGUUCCAAUAAAAACAUUUAGUAUGGAAGCAAUAUCUGAUGAGCGUUACCCUUUGCUUGGAGUUCAAGUCAACAUUUUCGACUCUGGAAUAGCAAUCGGUGUCUCCGGCUCUCACAAGCUCAUUGAUGGAAGAACGGCAGACUGUUUUCUCAAGUCCUGGGGUGCUGUUUUUCGAGGGUGUCGUGAAGAUAUCAUACAUCCUUGUCUCUCUGAAGCAGCAUUGCUUUUCCCACCGAGAGAUGACCUGCCUGAAAAGUAUAUAGCUUUGAUGGAAGGGUUACGGUUUGCCGGAAAAAAAGUUUCUACGAGGAGAUUCGUAUUUGAUGCGAAAACCAUAUCUGCAAUUCAAGAUGAAGCGAAGAGCGAGUCCGUGCCCAAGCCAUCACGAGUUCAGGCCGUCACUGGUUUUCUCUGGAAACAUCUAAUCGUUGCUUCUCGGGCACUAACAUCAGGUAAAAUUAGUUUAUCAACAAGCCAAAUAAUAAAGCCUAAUGUAUUUGGGGUACUUAUUUAUAUAUUUUUAUUACGUAUAGCUAGUGUACUGUGUACAUAGCUCAAAGAAUGAGAAAAUAUAUGAACUUGCAGGUACUACUUCAACAAAACUUUCUAUAGCAGCCCAGGCAGUGAACAUAAGAUCACGGAUGAACAUGGAGACGGUGUUGGAUAAUGCCACUGGAAACUUGAUGUGGUGGGCACCGGCCAUACUAGAGCUAAGUCAUACAACACCAGAGAUUAGUGAUCUUAAGCUGUGUGACUUGGUUAACUUGCUCAAUGGAUCUGUCAAACAAUGUAACGAUGAUUACUUUGAGACUUUCAAGGGUAAAGAGGGAUAUGAAAGCAUGUGUGAGUAUCUAGAUUUUCAGAGGAUUAUGAGUU